GACGAACGCUGACGGUGUGCUUUAGACAUGCAAGUCGAACGCGAAAGCCCUUCGGGGUUAGUAGAGUGGCGAACGGGUGAGUAACACGUGGGCAAUCUGCCCCUCGCAGGGGGACAACCGGAGGAAACUCCGGCUAAUACCCCGUACGCUUGCUGGACCGCAUGGUCCGGCAAGGAAAGGUAGCUUCGGCCAUCCGGCGAGGGAUGAGCCCGCGGUGCAUUAGCUAGUUGGUGAGGUAACGGCUCACCAAGGCGACGAUGCAUAGCUGGUCUGAGAGGAUGAUCAGCCACACUGGGACUGAGACACGGCCCAGGACUCC
rnacentral:rRNA from 1 species